rnacentral:rRNA from 1 species
AUACGAGGGGAGGUUAACAUUGGCCAAGUCGAGCGGAGAUGAGGUGCUUGCACCUUAUCUUAGCGGCGGACGGGUGAGUAAUGCUUAGGAAUCUGCCUAUUAGUGGGGGACAACAUUCCGAAAGGAAUGCUAAUACCGCAUACGUCCUACGGGAGAAAGCAGGGGAUCUUCGGACCUUGCGCUAAUAGAUGAGCCUAAGUCGGAUUAGCUAGUUGGUGGGGUAAAGGCCUACCAAGGCGACGAUCUGUAGCGGGUCUGAGAGGAUGAUCCGCCACACUGGGACUGAGACACGGCCCAGACUCCUACGGGAGGCAGCAGUGGGGAAUAUUGGACAAUGGGGGGAACCCUGAUCCAGCCAUGCCGCGUGUGUGAAGAAGGCCUUAUGGUUGUAAAGCACUUUAAGCGAGGAGGAGGCUACUGAGACUAAUACUCUUGGAUAGUGGACGUUACUCGCAGAAUAAGCACCGGCUAACUCUGUGCCAGCAGCCGCGGUAAUACAGAGGGUGCGAGCGUUAAUCGGAUUUACUGGGCGUAAAGCGUGCGUAGGCGGCUUUUUAAGUCGGAUGUGAAAUCCCCGAGCUUAACUUGGGAAUUGCAUUCGAUACUGGGAAGCUAGAGUAUGGGAGAGGAUGGUAGAAUUCCAGGUGUAGCGGUGAAAUGCGUAGAGAUCUGGAGGAAUACCGAUGGCGAAGGCAGCCAUCUGGCCUAAUACUGACGCUGAGGUACGAAAGCAUGGGGAGCAAACAGGAUUAGAUACCCUGGUAGUCCAUGCCGUAAACGAUGUCUACUAGCCGUUGGGGCCUUUGAGGCUUUAGUGGCGCAGCUAACGCGAUAAGUAGACCGCCUGGGGAGUACGGUCGCAAGACUAAAACUCAAAUGAAUUGACGGGGGCCCGCACAAGCGGUGGAGCAUGUGGUUUAAUUCGAUGCAACGCGAAGAACCUUACCUGGCCUUGACAUACUAGAAACUUUCCAGAGAUGGAUUGGGGCCUUC